rnacentral:rRNA from 1 species
AACGAACGCUGGCGGCAUGCCUAACACAUGCAAGUCGAACGAGACCUUCGGGUCUAGCGGCGCACGGGUGCGUAACGCGUGGGAACCUGCCCUUAGGUUCGGAAUAACUCAGAGAAAUUUGAGCUAAUACCGGAUAAUGUCUUCGGACCAAAGAUUUAUCGCCUUUGGAUGGGCCCGCGUAGGAUUAGCUUGUUGGUGGGGUAAUGGCUGACCAAGGCGACGAUCCUUAGCUGGUCUGGGAGGAUGAUCAGCCACACUGGGACUGAGACACGGCCCAGACUCCUACGGGAGGCAGCAGUGGGGAAUAUUGGACAAUGGGCGAAAGCCUGAUCCAGCAAUGCCGCGUGAGUGAUGAAGGCCUUAGGGUUGUAAAGCUCUUUUACCAGGGAUGAUAAUGACAGUACCUGGAGAAUAAGCUCCGGCUAACUCCGUGCCAGCCGCCGCCGUAACAC